CCUACGGGAGGCAGCAGUGGGGAAUAUUGGGCAAUGGGCGCAAGCCUGACCCAGCAACGCCGCGUGAAGGAAGAAGGCUUUCGGGUUGUAAACUUCUUUUCUAAGGGACGAAGCAAGUGACGGUACCUGAGGAAUAAGCCACGGCUAACUACGUGCCAGCAGCCGCGGUAAUACGUAGGUGGCAAGCGUUAUCCGGAUUUACUGGGUGUAAAGGCCGUUUAGGGGGGGACGCAAGUCAGAUGUGAAAACCAUUGGCUCAACCUGUGGGCUGCAGUUGAAACUGGGUGUCUUGAGUUCUGGAGAGGCAGGCGGAAUUCCGAGUGGAGCGGGGAAAUGCGUAGAUAUUAGGAGGAACACCAGUGGCGAAGGCGGUCUGCUGGACAGCAACUGACGCUGAGGCGCGAAAGCGUGGGGAGCAAACAGGAUUAGAUACCCCUGUAGUC
rnacentral:rRNA from 1 species